rnacentral:rRNA from 1 species
AACGAACGCUGGCGGCAUGCCUAACACAUGCAAGUCGAACGAGACCUUCGGGUCUAGUGGCGCACGGGUGCGUAACGCGUGGGAACCUGCCCUUAGGUUCGGAAUAACUCCCCGAAGGGGGUGCUAAUACCGGAUAAUGUCUUCGGACCAAAGAUUUAUCGCCUUUGGAUGGGCCCGCGUUGGAUUAGCUAGUUGGUAGGGUAAAAGCCUACCAAGGCGACGAUCCAUAGCUGGUCUGAGAGGAUGAUCAGCCACACUGGGACUGAGACACGGCCCAGACUCGUACGGGAGGGAGCAGUGGGGAAUAUUGGACAAUGGGCGAAAGCCUGAUCAAGCAAUGCCGCGUGAGUGAUGCAGGCCUUAGGGUUGUAAAGCUCUUUUACACGGGAUGAUAAUGACAGUACCGGGAGAAUAAGCUCCGGCUAACUCCGUG